CAAAUAAGCGGGAGGGAAAAGAAAAAUAACAAUGAUUCCCUCAGUAACGGCGAGUGAACAGGGAAAAGCUCAAAGUUGGAACCUGGUGGGCCUAGCCUACCCGGAUUGUAAACUAAAGUUUUUGGGUCGUUUAGUCAGCCAGAUAAAUAAGUCCUCUGGAAAGGGGCGACAUAGAGGGUGAAAUCCCCGUCUUUGGUCUGAGCAUGAUUAGGCGUUUGGCCUGGAAACGAAGAGUCAGGUUGUUUGGGAAUGCAGCCUAAAAUGGGAGGUAAAUCUCUCCUAAAGCUAAAUAUUGACGAAAGACCGAUAGCGAACAAGUACCGUGAGGGAAAGAUGAAAAGCACUUUGAAAAGAGGGUCAAAAAGUACGUGAAAUUGCUGAAAGGGAACCGUAUAAAAUCAGACUUACUGGUAGGUAAUCAACCUUCCUCUCGGGGAGGGUGCACUUGCCUGCUAUUGUAUGCCAKCAAUACUUUGGUUGGGAGGAAAAAAGUAGGAGAAAUGUAGCCUGGGUUUCGGCUUAGGUGUUAUAGUCUCUUGCAAAAUACUCUCGGCUGGAGUAAGGAACGCAGCAAACCGUAAGGCGAAGAUUUUGGGCGCUUGGAGUUAAUAGUUGGAGAAUUUCUGCUUCGGGUGGUGCUUCAGCUAUUGAUUUUAACUCGCUUAAAGUC
rnacentral:rRNA from 1 species